CCCUUUGGGUGUGACUGCGUACCUUUUGUAUAAUGGGUCAGCGACUUAUAUUCUGUAGCAAGGUUAACCGAAUAGGGGAGCCGGAGGGAAACCGAGUCUUAAUUGGGCGUUAAGUUGCAGGGUAUAGACCCGAAACCCGGUGAUCUAGCCAUGGGCAGGUUGAAGGUUGGGUAACACUAACUGGAGGACCGAACCGACUAAUGUUGAAAAAUUAGCGGAUGACCUGUGGCUGGGGGUGAAAGGCCAAUCAAACCGGGAGAUAGCUGGUUCUCCCCGAAAGCUAUUUAGGUAGCGCCUCGUGAAUUCAUCUCCGGGGGUAGAGCACUGUUUCGGCUAGGGGGCCAUCCCGGCUUACCAACCCGAUGCAAACUGCGAAUACCGGAGAAUGUUAUCACGGGAGACACACGGCGGGUGCUAACGUCCGUCGUGAAGAGGGAAACAACCCAGACCGCCAGCUAAGGUCCCAAAGUCAUGGUUAAGUGGGAAACGAUGUGGGAAGGCCCAGACAGCCAGGAUGUUGGCUUAGAAGCAGCCAUCAUUUAAAGAAAGCGUAAUAGCUCACUGGUCGAGUCGGCCUGCGCGGAAGAUGUAACGGGGCUAAACCAUGCACCGAAGCUGCGGCAGCGACACUGUGUGUUGUUGGGUA
rnacentral:rRNA from 2 species